CCUACGGGGGGCAGCAGUAGGGAAUUUUGCACAAUGGGCGCAAGCCUGAUGCAGCAACGCCGCGUGAGUGAAGAAGGCUCUUGGGUUGUAAAGCUCUUUCGGCUGGGAAGAGGGGACCACUUGCGAACAGUUAGUGGUUCUGACGGUACCAGAAGAAGAAGCACCUGCUAACUACGUGCCAGCAGCAGCGGUAAUACGUAGGGUGCAAGCGUUGUUCGGAAUUACUGGGCGUAAAGCGCGCGUAGGCGGGUUUGCAAGUCGAUUGUGAAAGCCCUGGGCUUAACCUGGGAACUGCAGUCGAAACUGUAAAUCUUGAGUGCCUGAGAGGAUGGCGGAAUUCCCGGUGUAGUAGUGAAAUACGUAGAUAUCGGGAAGAACACCUGAGGCGAAGGCGGCUAUCUGGCGGUGCACUGACGCUAAGGCGCGAAAGCGUGGGGAGC
rnacentral:rRNA from 1 species